GGUGCAGUGAGAGGUGCAGUGAGAGGUGCAGUGAGAGGUGCAGUGAGAGGUGCAGGGGGAGGUGUAGGGGGAGGUGCAGUGGGAGGUGCAGGGGGAGGAAGAGGAGCAGGCCCAAGGAGAGGGCAAGGUAGAGGUGUAAGAAUGUGUGGUGGUGGCAUUCCAAGGGCUGCAAGAACAGUAGUCAGUGAUGAAAUUCGUGCCACUAUCAUUGACCAUGUAAUCAACACGGUCUCUCACUAAGAGAGGCUGGUGAAAGACUGCAACCCAAUUUGAGGCGGUCAACGGUUGCCUCCAUUAUUCGCAUCUUUCAACAAACCAACAGACAGAAUUGAAGGCCAACCAGGACUCUCAUGAAUUCAUUUACAUAGAUGAGGCAGGAUUCAAUCUAUCCAAAAGGCGUCGACGUGGACGAAAUAUAAUUGGAAAAAGGGCCACAGUUUAUGUGCCAGGACAGAGAGGGGCAAGCAUUACCAUGUGUGCAAGACCCGAUGUCCCACUGUACAAGACCCGAUGUCCCACUACACAAGACCCGAUGUCCCACUACACAAGACCCGAUGUCCCAACUACACAAGACCCGAUGUCCCAACUACACAAGACCCGAUGUCCCAACUACACAAGACCCGAUGUCCCAACUACACAAGACGCGAUGUCCCACUACACAAGACCCGAUGUCCCACUACACAAGACCCGAUGUCCCACUACACAAGACCCGAUGUCCCACUACACAAGACCCGAUGUCCCAACUACACAAGACCCGAUGUCCCAACUACACAAGACCCGAUGUCCCAACUACACAAGACCCGAUGUCCCACUUCACAAGACGCGAUGUCCCACUACACAAGACCCGAUGUCCCACUACACAAGACCCGAUGUCCCACUACACAAGACCCGAUGUCCCACUACACAAGACCCGAUGUCCCACUUCACAAGACCCGAUGUCCCACUACACAAGACCCGAUGUCCCACUACACAAGACCCGAUGCUCCAUUUCUUAUUAGAAUAGUGUUUUGUUGCUAAUGCUAACGCUAAUGCUAGCUUGCUAACGUUGCUAGCUUCACAAUAUUCACUACAGCUUUCUUAGUACGAUUUGUCCACUAAAAAAAACAGUUAAUUCUUCAAUCCUUACCUGAUAA